rnacentral:rRNA from 1 species
CGACGGCCGAGUGGUAGCCACUCUUAUUGGGCCUAAAGCGUCCGUAGCCGGUCCAGUAAGUCCCUGUUUAAAUCCUGCGGCUUAACCGCAGGACUGGCAGGGAUACUGCUGGACUUGGGACCGGGAGAGGACAAGGGUACUCCAGGGGUAGCGGUGAAAUGUGUUGAUCCUUGGAGGACCACCUAUGGCGAAGGCACUUGUCUGGAACGGGUCCGACGGUGAGGGACGAAAGCCAGGGGCG